rnacentral:rRNA from 1 species
UACGGAGGAUGCGAGCGUUAUCCGGAUUUAUUGGGUUUAAAGGGUGUGUAGGCGGGAUGCCAAGUCAGCGGUAAAGAUGCGGUGCUCAACGCCGUCGAGCCGUUGAAACUGGCGUCCUUGAGUGGGCGAGAAGUAUGCGGAAUGCGUGGUGUAGCGGUGAAAUGCAUAGAUAUCACGCAGAACUCCGAUUGCGAAGGCAGCAUACCGGCGCCCUACUGACGCUGAGGCACGAAAGCGUGGGUAUCGAACAGG